UUUUGAGUAUAGAUAUGUCCCGUGCAAUAUUUGGGACAUUACUUAUACUAAAA
rnacentral:pre_miRNA from 1 species